UACGAAGGGUGCAAACGUUAUUCGGAAUCACUGGGCGUAAAGGGUGCGUAGACGGUGUGUUAAGUUCGUUGUUAAAGGCUCCGGCCUAACUGGAGUAUUGCAAUGAAAACUGGCAUGCUAGAGGGUGAGAGAGAGAAGUGGAAUUCCUGGAGUAGCGGUAAAAUGCGUGGAUCUCAGGAGGAACACCAAUGGCGAAGGCAGCUUCUUGGCUCAUUCCUGACGUUGAGGCACGAAAGCGUGGGGAG
rnacentral:rRNA from 1 species